rnacentral:rRNA from 1 species
UACGUAGGGUGCGAGCGUGUCCGGAAUUAUUGGGCGUAAAGGGCUCGUAGGCGGUUUGUCGCGUCGGGAGUGAAAACACUGGGCUUAACUCAGUGCUUGCUUCCGAUACGGGCAGACUAGAGGUAUGCAGGGGAGAACGGAAUUCCUGGUGUAGCGGUGAAAUGCGCAGAUAUCAGGAGGAACACCGGUGGCGAAGGCGGUUCUCUGGGCAUUACCUGACGCUGAGGAGCGAAAGUGUGGGGAGCGAACAGG